AAUACACAGCAAGUGGAAAAGCCUGAGGAAAGAGAAGUCACUGAGUUUCAUGUGAUCAGCUGCUGAGACACAAGAAUCACUUCUUUAUCAGUCUACAUGAAGAGUUUAACCCCCAGAACUAUAACUAGGAUAUUUAUCAGUGAAAUAACCCAUCAGUGGAGACGCCAGGCAGUACGGCAGCGACAAACCAAGCAUGAUGAGCCCCACGUAGCCAGCGUCCAAACAACAUACCAGGGAGACACGGGUUGUCUACACUCACCAGAACAGUCGCCACAUUGUUGGGGAAUAUUUUUGCUGUCACUG